UGGGGAAUUUUGGACAAUGGGCGAAAGCCUGAUCCAGCAAUGCCGCGUGUGUGAAGAAGGCCUUCGGGUUGUAAAGCACUUUUGUCCGGAAAGAAAUCCUUGGCUCUAAUACAGUCGGGGGAUGACGGUACCGGAAGAAUAAGCACCGGCUAACUACGUGCCAGCAGCCGCGGUAAUACGUAGGGUGCAAGCGUUAAUCGGAAUUACUGGGCGUAAAGCGUGCGCAGGCGGUUUGCUAAGACCGAUGUGAAAUCCCCGGGCUCAACCUGGGAACUGCAUUGGUGACUGGCAGGCUAGAGUAUGGCAGAGGGGGGUAGAAUUCCACGUGUAGCAGUGAAAUGCGUAGAGAUGUGGAGGAAUACCGAUGGCGAAGGCAGCCCCCUGGGCCAAUACUGACGCUCAUGCGCGAAAGCGUGGGGAGCAAACAGGAUUAGAUACCCUGGUAGUCCACGCCCUAAACGAUGUCAACUAGUUGUUGGGGAUUCAUUUCCUUAGUAACGUAGCUAACGCGUGAAGUUGACCGCCUGGGGAGUACGGUCGCAAGAUUAAAACUUAAAUGAAUUGACGGGGUCAUAGCUGUUUCCU
rnacentral:rRNA from 1 species